rnacentral:tRNA from 1 species
GGGGAUCGUCUAAUGGUAGGACGCCAGGUUUUGGUCCUGGUAAUCGGGGUUCAAAUCCCUGUCCCCGAGCCA